rnacentral:sRNA from 1 species
UUGCAGGAAGCCAAGAUGAGGAGAGUCUUUUUAAAAUAAUCCACCGGAAGAAAGACUGAUGAAGAAAAGUAACAGCAUGAUUGAGGUAAUGGAGACCUACUGGAACACGCGGAGAAGCUAGUAUC